rnacentral:rRNA from 1 species
UACGUAGGGGGCAAGCGUUGUCCGGACUUACUGGGCGUAAAGCGCGUGCAGGCGGAUUGGUAUGUGCCGUGUGAAAGCUCUCAGCUUGCCUGGGAGAGGUCGCGGUAGACAGCCGAUCUGGAGGCUCGGAGAGGUCAGUGGAAUUCCCGGUGUAGUGGUGAAAUGCGCAGAUAUCGGGAAGAACACCCGUGGCGAAGGCGGCUCUCUGGGACGGUACUGACGCUGAGACGCGAAAGCGUGGGGAGCGAACAGG